ensembl:lncRNA
GUUACCAAGCGGGGAGAGAGGGAGGGAGCUGGGGCUGUGAGGGGAGGGAGGCGCCGAAGGGUGGUGGCUGCGGGGCGGCAGGUGGGCCGUGAGGGCUGCCCGGGCUCAGGGGGUGGUUCGUCCUCAGAGUGCUGUGGGGCGGCCGCGUCCAUCCGGUGAAGGGAAAGCCUGUCGGGACGCCGAGGGAUGGGAUGUGGAGGUGUGAGGGGAGAUCCGCCUGACAGAGUGAGCGAAGCAAGGGAGGAUUUGCCAGCGCGAUGCUUCACGUGCCUUCCAAAGGGCAGGGGAAAGUGAUUGCUUUGUUGUUGGACAACUAGGACUGACUGCCAGAACUUCAGCUCUCUUCUGCUAAGCCAAGGUGAUGCAUCUUUCCACUUACACCUGCAAAAAUGCACAAGAGACUUAUAACCGAGACAUAGCCUGAAGAAAGUUAAUGAGAUUGUUAGUAGUCUCUGUCACAAAUGAGAAAACUAUGGAUGGUUCUGGUCCUUUCUUCAGACUUUGAUGAAACAUACAAAGGACAGAAAGUUGUUUUUGCUGAAGAAGCAGCAUCUGUAAGAGGAAAAAGAGAAACAUCAAGCAAAAAAAGCUAGAGGAAGCCAAUGAGAAGAACUACAAUUGGUUAUGACUAAUCUGUUACAAGCUUAAAUUUUCUUGUACCUUAACGGAUCUUUUAACCUAAUUUAUAGAGUCUAUUUCUUUUUAAUUUCCUUUAAAAGUUAAGACACUUUUUUCAUGAAGCUCAUAUACUUUGGCUAAGAAAUCUAUUAGCAUCUACAGUAAGAAUACAGCAACAGCAUUCAGAUUUUUUGAUUAAAUAUAGGUUAGUAAAUCACAAGCAAUAAACCUGAAGUAUCUCAUGCCCCUAUGUUGUGCCCUCACUUUUCAGUGAUCGUUAAAGAAUGAUAUAAAAAAAUUCCUCUUUGUUUGCCUGUUUGACACGGCAAAUGCUCAUUCAUUUCCAGCCUGUAGGUGGAUGUAGUUUCAAACAGAAAAUGAUGUUCUAAAAAUCCACAUGGACCUGUUAAUUGUGAGAGAAAUGUGUAGAAUGCCCCAUGUAAAAUGAGCGUGCUACUUUUCAAUAAAAACCUUUAUUUCAGUGUCAAAAAUGCUAUGCACACUCAAGUUGAAUUAUGCAUCUUGUAACUUCUCAAGAUGGUUGUACCUCUCGAUUGAUCAGGUCAAGAGUUUUGUAAGACCUUACAUGCUUUACAUAAAGCAUAACUCAAGUGGAAAUGACACUGCAGAAAUAUUUACGUUUUCAAGGCAUUCUUUGUAUUCGAACGACAGCUGAAUGGACCAUCACUUAAAAGAAAGAAGAAAACAAAUGAUUUUUUGUGAAAUUAAUGAACCUGUUAAGUAUGGAAGGAACAUCUAGCAAACUAUAACUAACGAUCAUUGAAGUUGCAACAGUAAGUUGUGGAGGAAAAAAGACUUCUGCUGUCCUAUUUUGGAGAUUACUAUGACAGGUUACUAAGUUCCACUCCAUUUAAAAAUUUCUUCCUGCAAAUUAAUGAAGUAUUUUCUAAAAAUUGAGUAGAGUUCCAUAAUGGAAUUUUGGCAAAUUAAAACAGGUUGCUGUGACAGUUCCUAAAAUAUUUCUAUUUUAGCUUUGUUUUGUAUUAUAAAUAUGUCAAGGUAAGUCAUUCUUGUCAAAACAGAAUGUUAUCUUUCCUUUUGGGAGAAAUUACCAGGUCUUUUCUCAGUGCUCUAAUUUUACACAUUCAACAAAAUAAAGAUAAGGGCUAAUUCCAAAUGCUUUCAUUUACAUCUGCAUAAUCAUAAUCCCACAUAAAUACAGCUUUCGUCUUACAAAUGGAUCUUAAGUAUUAUAUACAGUAUUGUUAGCUUUGAGUUUGCCUACUGCUCUGUAUAACAAGUGACUAAAAAAUAAAUGAUAUUUAAC